GGGUUGUGAGGUUAAGCGACUAAGCGUACACGGUGGAUGCCCUGGCAGUCAGAGGCGAUGAAGGACGUGCUAAUCUGCGAAAAGCGUCGGUAAGGUGAUAUGAACCGUUAUAACCGGCGAUGUCCGAAUGGGGAAACCCAGUGCAAUUCGUUGCACUAUCGUUAACUGAAUACAUAGGUUAACGAGGCGAACCGGGGGAACUGAAACAUCUAAGUACCCCGAGGAAAAGAAAUCAACCGAGAUUCCCCCAGUAGCGGCGAGCGAACGGGGAGCAGCCCAGAGUCUGAAUCAGCUUGUGUGUUAGUGGAACGGUCUGGAAAGUCCGACGGUACAGGGUGAUAGUCCCGUACACCAAAAUGCACAGGCUGUGAACUCGAAGAGUAGGGCGGGACACGUGGUAUCCUGUCUGAAUAUGGGGGGACCAUCCUCCAAGGCUAAAUACUCCUGACUGACCGAUAGUGAACCAGUACCGUGAGGGAAAGGCGAAAAGAACCCCGGCGAGGGGAGUGAAAAAGAACCUGAAACCGUGUACGUACAAGCAGUGGGAGCACCUUCGGGUGUGACUGCGUACCUUUUGUAUAAUGGGUCAGCGACUUAUAUUCUGUAGCAAGGUUAACCGUAUAGGGGAGCCGCAGGGAAACCGAGUCUUAACUGGGCGUUAAGUUGCAGGGUAUAGACCCGAAACCCGGUGAUCUAGCCAUGGGCAGGUUGAAGGUUGGGUAACACUAACUGGAGGACCGAACCGACUAAUGUUGAAAAAUUAGCGGAUGACUUGUGGCUGGGGGUGAAAGGCCAAUCAAACCGGGAGAUAGCUGGUUCUCCCCGAAAGCUAUUUAGGUAGCGCCUCGUGAAUUCAUCUUCGGGGGUAGAGCACUGUUUCGGCUAGGGGGUCAUCCCGACUUACCAACCCGAUGCAAACUACGAAUACCGAAGAAUGUUAUCACGGGAGACACACGGCGGGUGCUAACGUCCGUCGUGAAGAGGGAAACAACCCAGACCGCCAGCUAAGGUCCCAAAGUCAUGGUUAAGUGGGAAACGAUGUGGGAAGGCACAGACAGCCAGGAUGUUGGCUUAGAAGCAGCCAUCAUUUAAAGAAAGCGUAAUAGCUCACUGGUCGAGUCGGCCUGCGCGGAAGAUGUAACGGGGCUAAACCAUGCACCGAAGCUGCGGCAGCGACACUAUGUGUUGUUGGGUAGGGGAGCGUUCUGUAAGCCUGCGAAGGUGUGCUGUGAGGCAUGCUGGAGGUAUCAGAAGUGCGAAUGCUGACAUAAGUAACGAUAAAGCGGGUGAAAAGCCCGCUCGCCGGAAGACCAAGGGUUCCUGUCCAACGUUAAUCGGGGCAGGGUGAGUCGACCCCUAAGGCGAGGCCGAAAGGCGUAGUCGAUGGGAAACAGGUUAAUAUUCCUGUACUUGGUGUUACUGCGAAGGGGGGACGGAGAAGGCUAUGUUAGCCGGGCGACGGUUGUCCCGGUUUAAGCAUGUAGGCUGGUU
rnacentral:rRNA from 1 species